GAAGGGGGUUCCAGAGCUGCUGGCCAACGGUCCCUCACCAAGUGGCUUCACCUUUGAACGAUAAGCCUCUCCUUGAAGCACAUCCAGGGCGAGGGAGGGAGAAGGCCCGGCCUCUUGGGCGUGGGGCCCUAAGCCGGUUGCUUCACGUUGCUGAGAUUUGAUUUCCACACAUGGGAAGCAAGAGGGGCCAGAGAGCCUGUGCCUGCCAACCCGCUUCUGGUCUCUGCACUUGCUGUUUCCUCCACGAGUCUAUUUUUUUCUCUUUUCAGAUGUGCGCGUCCUUCUCCCUCAAACCCUCCCUCCCUCCCCCUGUGCUCCCAAGAGCUCCUUUGUGCACGGGGGAGAGGAAGGGCCAUAAAGCCACGUUCCCAGUUGCAGGGCCCAGGAGCUGCGGUUUUAUCGCCUUGCACCUGGUGGGGGGGGGGGGUGCGCUCAGAAGGUGACAGUCGUCUGUAUUAAUAGUAACUGGAGACAUUGUGGAAGGGGGGAGUCCAGGCCCCAGGGGAGAAGCAGCAGAUCCCUGGAGAAGUAGAGGGGGAGGCCCCUGAAAGAGGAUUUGGGUGGGCCAGGGUCAGGGACAGAUUUCUUGGCUACCCUAUGCCCUCCUUUCUCUUGCCCCCACCCCAUGUGUGAGCAGGGAGUAUUCAGGACAGGCUUCCUGGAGGAGGUGACAUCUGAACCCUGAGAGGUGAAUGGAUGGUGGCCUUAAGUGGAGUUAGAGUCCAGAGGGCAGACCCAGGUGGAGGAUGCUGUACUAUCUGAAGAUGAAGAAAGGGGCCAUGAGCCAAGGAACGCAGAUGCUUCUAGAAGCCGGAAACACCUUCUCCCCAGGAGCUUCCAGAAGGAAAAUGUGGCCCUGUGGACACCUGGAUUUCAGCCCAGUGAGACCCGUUUUGGACUUCUGACCUCCAGAACUGUCAGAUAACUGUGUUCUUUUAAGCCA